GGGCUGCACCUGUGGCAUAUGGAAGUUCCCAGGCUAGGGGUCAGAUCAGAGCUAUAGCUGCCAGCCUACACCAUGGCCACAGUAACGCAGGAUCCAAGCGGCAGUCUGCGACCUACACCACAGCUCAUGGCAACACUGGAUCCUCAACCCACCAAGCAAGGCCAGGGAUCAAACCUGCAUCCUCAUGGAUCCUGGUCAGGUUUGUUAACUGCUGAGCCAUGAAGGGAACUCCUUAUAAGCCACUGAAAUGGUGAGGUUUGUUAAUGAAGCAUAACCCAGACUCUCCUUAGUGAUACAAUUUCAUUUUAGAGUGGCUUAUAGUUGGUGAUAACUAAGGAAGCAUUUCAGUGUCAUCAGUAAUGCACCUCUAAAACCUAGGGGAGGAUGGCUGACUUAGGUGACAGUCUCAUAUGCAAAGUAGUCACAAACAGAGUACAUGGUGUAGUUUUUUUGUUUGUUUGUUUGUUUGUUUUCUUUUAAAAUCUCUGAGAAUCUUUUCCUAUCCAAUUUGGGUGAAAGCGUUCUCAUUCAUGCAUUUCAGAAAUACUGAGAGCCAACAAAAUUCCAGGCAUCGUGUUAGGUAGAGGGUACAGUAAUGAGCAAGGCAAGCGCAGUCCCUGUCUCAGCAGAGGUUUUAUUCUAAUGGCAGAGACAGACGAUACAUAAUUGCACGAUGAUUUCAAAGCAGUUGUGAUCAAAGCUAAGAUGAUGACGCCUAGGGUGUCAGCAGAACAUAUAACCAUGGACCUGACUGGGUCUGGGUCAACUUCCUCUUGGGUGCCCCCAGAAAUAAAUGAGUUGCCCCAAGUUACUCAAACACUAAAAGGGGGAAGAAUCAGACCCUUGUCCUCCUACUUAGGCACUCUGUGGUCUUUGGACAAAGCCUUGAAACUGUGCCUCAUAUUUGAGCCAACAACCCUGUUUUCACUACUUAUACUCAAGGGAGAGCCAGCUGGAAUUUGGAUGACAUACUCAUAUGACCUCAGAUUUUUAAAAAGACUCAAAACACAAGUAUCAGUGAUAUGGGGUCAAUAAAACUAUUCCUGUUUGGGAAGGCUGAUGGCAUAUCCUUGAUUUUUACAAGAACAGCAGAGUUAAAACAUUCAACACAUGCAGGCUGGACCACAAGUAAGUGUGUUGGCAUGUCAGUUCUGCCUCAUGAUGGCACUUCAACAACAGCCAAUGAACUACGUGCUUUCCUGCAUGGGGCAAAACGUUUUGUCCGGAAAUGAUCAUCUCCAAUAUUGCAAUUUUGCCAAAUUCUUUUAUUUUACUAUAACUGAGGAGUGAAUCCACUUUGGCUUGAUUCAACUCAAAAUAAGUUCCCUAGGCACCUAGGGAUACAGGGAAAGGUAAGACUCAAGUCUCUGUUCUAAAGGAACUCACUGUCUGGAGAGGACUUGUGGUUGCCCAGUGGAGAGGGGAGGGGCUGGGAGGGACUGGGAGUUUGGGGUUAGUAGAUGCAAACUAUUAGGUUUAGAAUGGAUGGAUGAUAGGGACCUGUUACGUAGCACAGGGAACUGUAUCCAGUCUCCUAGGAUGAGCUAUGAUGGGAAAUAUUUAAAAAAGAAUGUAUGUAUGUUUUUAAAAACCAUUUCAUAGCAAUAAAAUAAAUAAAUAAAUAAAGGAACUCACGGUCCAGUAGUGAAGUCAUUAACAAAUGAGGAAUUGCUCUUUGAUUACUGGCCAGUUAUCCUUCAUAAUGCUUUCCAAAACUUAAACUCUCCUAGUAUGCUGACACAAAGGCACGGUGGAUUUUACUUCAUUUCCCCUUUCUCAGCGCUCAUCUUCCUUCAAAACUUGAAGAUGGGCGUAAAAUGUUUGACACCAUAACUCCCCGUUAAUAUCCAAUUGGCAACAUAGGACUUGGAAAUAUUCACCAUGAGAGUCAUCUUGUGAGUCCAAUUUGGACCUACCACUAAUAAGAUGUGUGCCAAGCCUCUAAGCCUUGUGUCUUUGUGGGGGGGGGGGGGAGGGAGAAAGAGUUUGCUCAUUUGUAAAAUCCACUUCAAAACUCAAAUGCGUUCCCGCAUUAAGACUCCUUCCUUUGCUUUGAAAUAUCUAUAUCUAGUUACUAUCACUGUAAAAAAUUAAUUAAGCCUUCCAAGAAGCCCUCUUGCAAUACUGUUUGGACUCGGCAAGCAGGGAAGCGAUGAUGGUCUCGUGGUAUUUCCUGUUUCCCCCGAGUCCAAGUUCAUGAAGGAAUGUGUAAAAAGACACCACGCUGGCUUUCCAGUAGGAGCGUCCCUCCUGAGCCUUGUCGCUAGGCAACCCCAGGUGUGGCAUUAGCCCAUCCUCGGGCAAACUGAUUACGAUGCAAGAACUUGGGCCCAGAACUCUGCAAACGUCGGGCACUGACAUUGUGUAGUGCUGUUCCUUGCCCUCCAGCCUCCCUUUGGGUCCUCACGGUGCCAUUUCAAAGCGCUCGGUCCCAACACGCCUAGUCAAUGGUCUUUUCCGAGAUAGGCAGCCAGGGUCAGGCUUUUGGUGAACCAGGACUGGCCAGGGUGCCGUCUGGGCAAAGCCACGUCACUCCUCUCGGAAUUUCCCAACGACCAACAGCAGGACACCUCGAGCCACGCGCACACACACACACACACCUCAAGGGCCCGUCAUGACCUCGCCGACGGCCCUGGACCAAACCGCAUCUGGGAAUGGCGGGGUUGCGACGCGUCCACAGAGACGGGACGGCAGCCUCACGCGCUGGACCCGCCCACGCGCCCGCGGCCCCGCCCCCACUUCCGGCCGGACCGCGGUCACGUGCCCGGACCCCAGCCCAGCAGACGCGGCUACUCUCGCGUCGGCGAGCCUCCUGGCUUCUCUUCCGCCGGAAGUGGGGCGACUUUCCCUUUCCGGCUACGGGUCCCCAAGCGGAGCUGGAGGCCGGACAGGGGAGCCCGGUGGCGGCGGUGGCUGCGGCGGCGGCGGCAGUGGGGGCGGUAAUGGCGGAGCUGGUGCAGGGGCAGAGCGCUCCGGUGGGGAUGAAGGCCGAGGGCUUCGUGGACGCCCUGCACCGUGUCCGGCAGUAGGUAACCAGUUAGGGGCCUUGGUACAUCAAAGGGCAGUAAUAACAGAAGAAUUCAAAGUGCCUGAUAAAAUGGUUGGAUUUAUUAUUGGCCGGGGAGGUGAGCAGAUUUCACGGAUUCAAGCAGAAUCUGGUUGCAAAAUUCAAAUUGCUUCAGAGAGCUCUGGGAUUCCAGAGAGGCCCUGUGUGCUCACCGGAACCCCAGAAAGUAUUGAACAAGCCAAGCGGCUCCUGGGGCAGAUUGUGGAUCGCUGUCGGAACGGACCUGGCUUUCACAACGACGUCGACGGCAGCAGCACGAUCCAGGAGCUCCUCAUCCCUGCGUCGAAAGUGGGUCUGGUCAUCGGCAAAGGAGGGGAGACGAUAAAGCAGCUGCAGGAGCGGACGGGCGUGAAGAUGGUCAUGAUCCAGGACGGCCCGCUGCCGACGGGCGCCGACAAGCCUCUUCGCAUCACCGGAGACCCCUUUAAAGUGCAGCAAGCUCGAGAAAUGGUGUUAGAGAUCAUCCGAGAGAAAGACCAAGCCGACUUCCGAGGCGUUCGCGGCGAUUUCAGCUCCCGGAUGGGAGGAGGCAGCAUAGAGGUGUCUGUGCCUAGGUUUGCUGUGGGGAUUGUGAUAGGAAGAAAUGGGGAGAUGAUCAAAAAGAUCCAGAAUGAUGCCGGUGUGAGGAUUCAGUUCAAACCAGAUGAUGGCAUUAGUCCGGAGAGAGCUGCCCAGGUUAUGGGACCCCCAGACCGAUGCCAGCAUGCAGCCCACGUCAUCAGCGAGCUGAUUCUUACCGCCCAGGAAAGAGAUGGCUUCGGAGGCCUGGCAGUGGCCAGAGGAAGAGGCCGUGGCCGUGGCGACUGGAGCGUGGGAACCCCCGGGGGCAUCCAGGAGAUAACCUACACGGUGCCAGCCGAUAAGUGUGGCCUCGUCAUAGGCAAAGGGGGCGAGAACAUCAAGAGCAUAAACCAGCAGUCGGGAGCGCAUGUGGAGCUGCAGCGGAACCCCCCGCCCAACACGGACCCUGGCCUGCGGGUAUUCACCAUCCGGGGGGUCCCUCAGCAGAUCGAGGUGGCCAGACAUCUCAUAGACGAGAAAGUUGGCGGUAGCGGUCUCGGAGCGCCCGGAGCCUUUGGACAGAGCCCCUUCAGCCAGCCGCCCGCCGCCCCUCAUCAAAACACCUUUCCUCCAAGGAGCUCAGGGUGCUUCCCCAACAUUGCUGCUAAAGUGAACGGAAACCCCCAUGGCGCCCCUGUGAGCGGUCCUCCGGCCUUUCUGACCCAGGGCUGGGGCAGCACCUACCAGGCAUGGCAGCAGCCCGCACAGCAGGUCCCAAGUAAGUGCCUGGGGGAGUGGGCCCGCAGCCCCGCAGACCGGCCACGGGCGCCCAUCCCCAGGGGGGCCCCAGCGCCUCCUGGGGGGGCGGGCGGUGUCCAGCUGGCCUCCUCAGACCUGUCUUUCCUUCUGCGCCGUCCUCCUCACCCUUGUUCCCACAGAUGGGUCCAGGAGGCCUGCGGCCCCAAGGGCGAGGAUGGCCCUGAGCCCCUGCCCUCCUCCCCCUCCUCUCCUCAAGCAGCCCCGCCUAUUGGGUGCCCUCGAGGUGGUCUGCUCCCUCUCCUCUGUCCAGCACCACCCCAGGGAGGGAGCUUCCUGUCUCCUGCACCUGGAGACAGCACACCCUAGAGGAUGCCCUCUGCCGAGUGGCACCGCUCCAGGAAAACUGACUAGAAGAGGAAGGUCUGGGUGGAAUCAAACCCACUCCCACCCUCCGGCCCCCACAUGAGCUUCAGGCAUCAUUCUUGAGUUUUAUCGGUGGAGAACCCACGUUGCACAGCCUUCGAAAAACAGUAACAAAACGAAAACCUUGCCUCGGGUUCCUUCGACAUGGGAAGGGCCAGCACAGAGCUGUUUGGGAAGCGCUCUUCGGUGCACCUGCAGCCUCCCUCGGAGCGUGCCCGGCCCGCGUGCUGCCGCAGCUUCACUCACCAGGGGCUGAGCCCAGGCCUCAGGUCCCCCCCUUUCCCCUUGAGCAGAGGGCUGGCUCUGAACCCCUACUCCAGGGCGCCUGUCAGGUGCACAGCUGGAUGAGCCCCCGGGAGUCUGGAGCCAGUAUUGGGCGGCCUCAGGCAGGUGCCCCUUCCCUGGGGCUCCCCUUCUGUCCUCUGUGAGACGAAGGGUCUGGGUUUGAUUUCUCGAGUACCUGUGAGCUCUGAAACCCCAUGGCUGUGUUUUCUUUCCCGGUGUUUCCUUAUGAAACAUCUUAAACAUGCAGAAUGUCGUCAAGUCUUCACCAGGAACACCUACAGGCCCCCUAGACCUGCCUUCCCCCCGGCCCUGUGCUCACUUAUCCUGAAGCCCGGGCGUGUUUUGUUCCCUCCUGCCCGGUCCAAGGGCACCCCAGGGUGGGAGGUGACCCGGGUCAGGCUCCCAUGUGCCCGUGGCCCAGGGCAGAGGACUGGGAGAAGCCCCAGACCGUGAGGCGGCUUUACAUUGGAGCCCCAGGGGCCACGUCCAUCUCCAGGGGCGGGAGUGCCGGCAGAGCCCCGCUGCUGCCGCCGCCUCAAGUGCAGGCGGGCGCGGAGCCGGCAAAGAAGGCACGUGCUUCGUCGAGGAAGACACCUGCUUUCUUGCUUCGAUCAGCCUUGUCUGGGUGUCCAGCUUCCUUCAUUUGGAGGCUGUUGAGAAUGGGGUGUGGGCCGUGAAGUCUUGUCUGGAAGAGAAACCCAGCUUGCCCACCCCUCCGUGUCUGAGGGGCCAGUUCCUGCCGCCCCACUCCGCGCUCUGCAAGACCAGGGCCGGCUGCCGUCGGUGUCCAGGUCCGAGCCCCUUCCUGCCCCGGCGGGGGAAGAGGGGUCUCUCCCGGCCCCACGCCCCUCCUCGGUCUCCGGUGGAAGAAUGCUUGAGAAAAGCCUUCCUCCGUGGAAUGUGUUUGGGAGCACGUGCUUCCUGCCUGCUGAGCCUGUGCUGCUAACCCAAGAUGGGUGGGGCCUGGGUGGGGGACAGCAGGGCAGCAGAAGAAGGACCCACCCUGAGGGCGCGUCUUUUGGUGCUCUGCAGGCCCCCACCCCCACCCCGGGCCCAGCCGCUCCGCCCCGCUCUGCUCCGCAGGAGGAGGGUGCAAACAGGCCCCCACCCCUGACGGGCUCAAGGCCAGGCGGGGUCGGGUCGUGUGUGGCGUCCGCCCCUCGCUGUGUGUGCCUCGUCUUCUGUCGUCAUCUCGAGCACUCUCCCUGCGCGUCCCUUGCAUUCUGUCUGUCCAGAGGCAGAGCCUCAGUCCCUGCGCGGAAGGGCCAGGUGACAGGAGCCAUCCCCACCCUUUGAAUUCCUUGUCCCAAUUGAAGGCCAAUCCGGGCAGCCGUGGGCAACACCCUGGCCCUUGGGGCUCAGCUCACUGACUCCCCUCCCGUCUGAAGGAGGUUGAUCUGCCAGGCCAGCCGAGCCAGCCGCUGCCCCUCAGGCCAAGGGCCCAGGGGCCAGAGAGUGAGCCAGCAAGUGCAGAGAGCAGGGCUGGAGCCUGCGGCCUGAGGCCGAGGCCGAGGGAGCCCGAAGGCCUGACUGCUUUUGUGUUCUUCGCACAGGCCAGCAGAGCCAGCCGCAGAGCAGCCAGCCCGACUACAGCAAGGCCUGGGAAGACUAUUACAAAAAGCAGAGUCACGCGGCCAGCGCCGCUCCUCAGGCCAGCUCCCCGCCGGACUACACAAUGGCCUGGGCGGAAUAUUACAGACAGCAGGUCGCUUUCUACGGGCAGACAUUAGGGCAAGCUCAGGCCCACAGCCAGGAACAGUAGGACAUUGACCCCCGGCUCCCUCCACCCCGAAAUCAUUGUGAGCAAAAACCUAUUUGUAACAGAGGUUUUUAGAUUUGCAAACCUUUUGAUGAAGAACCUUUGUUUUCUGUGAAACACUAUAUUUAGAUUAACAGAAUUUUUCUAAAAAUCGGAAAAAUAGUUACUAAAAAAUUGCUGAUAAUUUUUGUUUGUUACUUCAAAUGUGUAAGCUCUGGGAUUCCUUUUGGAGCAAUACCUGCAAAUUCAGGCACCAGAAUGUGCCUCAGAGCAGUGACAUUUCAACAUGGUGUGUUUUGUUUUGUUUUGUUUUGUUUUUUGUUUUUGCGUGUCUUUUUAUUUACAGUUUUUUCUGUUGCAACAGAAAGUGGCUUGGAAGUCUUAGGUGGUUUGUAACAAAUUCUUUAAAAAAAUUUUUAAACAGUAUUUAAAUAUUCUUAAAUGUGUAAAUUCAUUAAAUGUUUUACUUUUAAUUUCUUGUACCUUGGCUGUCUGGUUUUAUUGCAUUUUUAAAAAAACUGAACUAUUAUGUAUUGUAAUUAAUGAUGUGAAUUCUGAAUUGAGACAGAUAAUUGUAUUGCUGUCCAACAGGGAUCGGGAGGGGGCAUUUUAUAGGGUUUGUAUAAUUUCUAGAGUUCUAAAGGGGUAAUAAUAUAAAAAUGUGUUCGUGUGUUUAGACGUUUUUUUCAUGUCUCCAUUACCUACCGGUUGCAAUUGUGUAUCUAAGACCUCCAAGCUUGUUUUAAAAACAAAACAAAAAACCUUUCUCUGUUCUCUCAGAAGUAUAAAUACUGUUAUUUUUAAUAUUAAAAAUAAAUUCAGUAUAACUUUUAACAAACACUGUGGAACAUUAAACCGCAUAAAAAUGUAGUUAACUAUUUUUUAAUUCCAAGGUGUUUUUUGCUUUUUUUCUUUUAAAUAUUUUCUUAAUAUUUGUCAAAUUAACUAGAUGGAUAAAUAAAUCUAGUAUUAACCACAGUAUGAAUUAAAUAAUUUUGAUUUAAUGAAAGGGAUAAUAUGAUUUCCAGUGUUUACUGUAGUGUAUCUUGUACAGAUAACAUGUAUUUUUAAAAGAAAGAAAAACGGAAUUGAAGCUAUUUUUUCUUGCAUUUUUCAAUUGACCUGAGGGACAUUCCGUUUGAGAUGUACUGAAGUUAUAAUUUCUGGGUUUUUUUUCUUUAGUUUCCUUACAAUGCUUGAAAUGUCUAACUAUUAAAAAAGGCAAUUGGAAGAUGUUAUAUGCAUGUUGUUUUUAAAAAAAAAAAAGUGUUCUUUUUAUUUGACUGACAAUUCAUUUUACACUCUACAUAAUAAAAUUUCCACAAGACCUCUUGUGGGCAAAGUA